rnacentral:lncRNA from 1 species
UCUAUCACUUUGGAGUGUCCAAGGUACUUGUAGAAGAAGGAAGAGGUCAGCUAUCGAAGUUAUUCGUAGACUAGCAUCUCCGAGCCCCUGAUCUGCGCCAGUCUUCGUGUGGAUUUUUCUAUAGAGGCCAGAUGACUUUGUGUGGUUGUGAGUGAUCUAAAAAAUAUCCUCUCUAACCAUUGGAUCAGAGUAGAUCAAGAUCAAAAUUUAUUUGGUAACGAUCUCUAACUUAUUUUGAUUCCUAUGAUAGAUCAAAGUUAGAUCUAAAAUUUCAGCAUUGAUGAGAUCGAUGU